CCCCUAGCCUGGGAACCUCCAUAUGCUGCAGGUGCGGCCCUUAAAAAAAAAGAAAAAAAAGACAAAAACAAAAAACAAAAUAAAGAAAGAUGUUGAGGGAACAUCUGACACCCUACCCGGCCCUCCCAUCUCUAGCACUGUCCACGUCAGGCAGCCGGCUGCUCUGAUGCCUCCACUUUUUUGCACUUCUGUGCUGCUGUGUGUGUGUCCCUGGCCUGGCCUGUCCCUCUGUCUCUUCCACCACAGGCACUGCUCACGCCUCCUUUAAGACGCAGGUGCACUGUCCGGCCCAGGGCUGGAGCCUGCUCCCCACUCUGUGCUGGGGGUUCUGUAACAUGGGCGCUCAGAUAGGCUCGCUGCUUUUCCUCCCUCCCCUCUGCUGUGCUAAGGCUGGUGCCCCGCCCCUUUCCCAGCCCUCUCUGCCAGCCCAGCCAGGGCCCCGAGAUCUGAAACGGGGUCACGAGCAAAGGCCCCCAUGGGGCAGAGGCUGAGGGAGCUCUCAUGCUGCUUCCACUGAGAGCUGCCUGCCCAUGGGGCCCCGGCUGCACACAGAGCGAGCUCAGAAGAAGGGGCCUGUAUCCAGGGCACCUGCUCCUGUCCCGCUGCUCUCAGGAUCAAGUCUGAACACCCCUCUGCAACACAGAAAACCUGAGAUCCCCAGCAGCCUUCCCCUCUCACACCCCUGCUCUACCACGGACCUGUCCCUUGCCCAUGGAGGAACUCCUGUCUGUUUCUGUCUGCAUCCACCUUCCGCCCCUACCCAGCAUCCUUCAGGGCAGCUGAGCACAGGUUCUAUCUCUGGCCCUUCCCUGGGCCCUGGGUCCAGUGGCCCCUCCACCUCUGUCUUCUGGGUGUCCAUCCUUUGUUCUUGCCCUGCUGGACUGAGCUUUGGGCAGGCAGAGGUCCCACUACCCCCCCCCCCCGCCCCCCGCUUCAGCCCCUGGCUUCAGAGGGUGAGGGAUGAAAAAUAGGGCUGGCGACCUGUGCAGUCACAGGCCCCCUCUCAGAAGGGCCCUGUGCCUAGUUGAACUCUCUGCUGUGAUCAUCUUGACAAUCUUUUUAUUUUGCUUUUUAGGGCGGCACCUGCAGCAUAUGGAAGUUUCCAGGCCCGGGGUCGAAUCAGAGCUGCAGCUGCCAGCCUGUGCCACAGCCACAGCGACGCAGGAUCCAAGCUCCAUCGGUGAACUAUACUGCAGCUGACAGCAACACUGGAUCUGUAAUGCACUGAGCGAGGCCAGGGAUCGAACCCACAUCCUCAUGGAUAGUAGUUGGGUUUGUAAGCUGCGGAGCCACAAUGGGAACUCCCAUCUUAACAUUCUAAAGAUGCGUCAUAUGAGGAUCCAGCCAUUCUCUCACUCACCUGGAGAGACCUAGCAUGGACAUUAAUAAGUAAGUGACUCUUUCAGGACAUCUGACCCACUGGGAGGGGUCGGCUUGCCCACUUCAGCCCCAGUGCGCCUUCUCUUGGGGGUGGCUGUCCUCCCCACGCGGUUCGGGACAAGGUUCCCAACACCGGCCCCCAGAGAGCUGCCGUUGCAGUGUCCGCCUUAUCCAUGCUCCAGGCUGACUGAAAGAGCAUCGGGAAGCCCACCAACCCCUGCACACCCCCUGCCCCCCCACCCUAGUCACUGGAACACCAGCCUCAGGGGCAGCUCUGGCCUGGCCCUUGUGGCCUUGCCUUCCAUCCUGGCACUCACCUCCCUCUAAAGCCCUUCAAAGGGUCCUUGUGUUACCCACUAGGCAAGAACAAGGAACAAGCUGUAUCCUCAGAAAUCUCUAGCAACCUCGGCCCCAGACAGGCCCUCUGAUGGAAAUAGCAUUAGGGGCUUUCACACCAGGAAAAAAACCAGUCCCCUUUUAUUGAGAAAAUAGACUCGAUCCCUCAAUCUUUUCCCAGGUGACUCGACUGUGAUACCAGGUGGCAUCCUUCUGCAGCCACCCCCAAGGACCCCUGAACCUGAGCGGGGCAGAUGCUGGUCGGCUCAGGGCCUGGAGAAGUGGGCGUGCAGGUCGGGCAGGGUUCUAGAGGGGGGGCUGUGAAGGGCAUGGGGGCACCUGGGUGGAGGUGGGACCGGGGCGGGAGGGGUGGGGGGGCAAGAGUGGCUGUGGCGGGUGGCAUCUGGCUGAAAUGAGGGAAGGGUGGGGGUAGGGGGAGAAGGGCCACCAUCUCCCGAGGCCUGGUACCUUCUCCCUACAAAUUCUUCAUAAAUAAAACUUCACAGUAAUA